rnacentral:rRNA from 1 species
UAGGGAAUAUUGGACAAUGGGGGCAACCCUGAUCCAGCCAUGCCGCGUGAGUGAAGAAGGCCCUCGGGUUGUAAAGCUCUUUUGUCCGGAAAGAAAAGCAUUCGGUGAAUACCCGGAUGUUCUGACGGUACCGGAAGAAUAAGCACCGGCUAACUUCGUGCCAGCAGCCGCGGUAAUACGAAGGGUGCAAGCGUUACUCGGAAUUACUGCGCGUAAAGCGUGCGUAGGUGGUUGUUUAAGUCUGAUGUGAAAGCCCUGGGCUCAACCUGGGAAUGGCAUUGGAAACUGGGCAGCGAGAGUGCGGUAGAGGGUAGUGUAAUUCCCGGUGUAGCAGUGAAAUGCGUAGAGAUCGAGAGGAACAUCUGUGGCGAAGGCGACUGCCUGGACCAGCACUGACACUGAGGCACGAAAGCGUGGGGAGCAAACA